CGCCCUGAUGGUGAGGGUGACGCCGUGGGACGUGGAGCCACACAGGAGCCCCCCUGGCUCACCUGAGCACAUGCCCUGGCUCACCUGAGCAGCGCCCGCGCCUCCCCCGCCAGCCCGCUCAGCUCCUGCGCCCGCGCCUGCAGCCCCCGCGCCUCCUGCUCCAGCCGCGAGCA